rnacentral:rRNA from 1 species
AGAGUUUGAUCCUGGCUCAGGACGAACGCUGGCGGCGUGCUUAACACAUGCAAGUCGAGCGGUAAGGCCCUUCGGGGUACACGAGCGGCGAACGGGUGAGUAACACGUGAGCAACCUGCCCCUGACUCUGGGAUAAGCGGUGGAAACGCCGUCUAAUACCGGAUACGACCCGCCACCUCAUGGUGGAGGGUGGAAAGUUUUUCGGUCAGGGAUGGGCUCGCGGCCUAUCAGCUUGUUGUGGGGUAACGGCCUACCAAGGCGAUUACGGGUAGCCGGCCUGAGAGGGCGACCGGCCACACUGGGACUGAGACACGGCCCAGACUCCUGCGGGAGGCAGCAGUGGGGAAUAUUGCGCAAUGGGCGAAAGCCUGACGCAGCGACGCCGCGUGGGGGAUGACGGCCUUCGGGUUGUAAACCUCUUUUACCACCAACGCAGGCUUCCAGUUCUCUGGGGGUUGACGGUAGGUGGGGAAUAAGGACCGGCUAACUACGUG